GAAGUCCCCGUAUUCAAAUUAAUUACAUAGUUGCCACAGUUCAGGUUUUACCAACUUACACCUAUCGGUCAUUACCACCGCUGUAUAAUACACACAUGUCACCCACCCGCUUCUACCACCUAUAAGUAACCACCAGACUUGCCCCAAAUCCACAUCAGGCGACAAACAUUUCCACGGUAUUUCUACUCAGACAAACAUGGAAAUCAACAACAGAGAGAGGAAGAAGACAACAACAGAGAGAGAUAGAGAGAAAGAGAGACGACGGUAGUUGCUGUUUCCGACGCCACCUCCUACCGGCAACGGAAUCAACUGAUGGCAGCGAGUCUAGGUUUUCCGUUGGCCCUUUCUGAUUAUGGUUGAAGGAGUGAACCGUCGUUGGGUAUUCUUCUACUCUGUUCGUAGAAAGCAGCCAGCAGAAAUUGAUACAGCAUCAGCUCAUCCAUGCAAAAGGCUACGCCAACCGAUAUGCUUUCCAGAUUUAAUAAAUUUAAAAAGUUAACUUUUUCGAAGGUAAAGUCCAGUGGACCAAAUUUGGGUAAUCUAUCUUAAAAACAUUCUGAGCUAAUUUGACUCCGGUGAAGAAUCCGGUUACCAAUAUGAUAUUGUUGUCACAGAAAGAACUUUGGUCAACAGGUGGCUGCCGGCUUAGAUGAGGGUGCCGAUUAACAGUUCAUGUCAAGUAUGAUAUACUUACCAAUUGAAUAUAUUAAUAUUCAUUAAUUGAUAUUGUGAAUCUGUUUAUGGAUGAGGAACCUUCAAUGAUGACGCUCAUGAUUGGAACUGCUCAGAUUCAGUAAGGUCUUGAUGAUGGCAGAAUAUGGCGGUGAAGGAUCAAUAGGGGGCCCAAAGAACUGUGCGCAACAAAGGACCAUUUGCGCAUGCGAGCAAGAUACAGGUCCUGUUUGGGUGCGAUGAUCAUACUUGGUUAUCAAGGCAGAACUUGAGUCAAAAGGCGAGUCGACUCAGUCAAACAAAAACCAACAACAAUGUUGAUGCCACUCAUACCAUGUACCAUUUACAUUUUAUAAUUUCUUUCGCAUACCUUGCAACUCUUUAACGCACAAGUUUUCUAACAUUUCGGUAUAUAAUUUGUUUUGACCAGUAUUUUGCUUUUGGUUUUUGAUUUGUGUUGUUUGCUCAAAUCACGUUAGAAAAACCGCCCCGCAACGCGGGGGAAUCACUUUUAGUUAGAAAAUGUUUCGGA